UACGGGAGGCAGCAGUGGGGAAUAUUGGACAAUGGGCGCAAGCCUGAUCCAGCCAUGCCGCGUGAGUGAUGAAGGCCCUAGGGUUGUAAAGCUCUUUUGUGCGGGAAGAUAAUGACGGUACCGCAAGAAUAAGCCCCGGCUAACUUCGUGCCAGCAGCCGCGGUAAUACGAAGGGGCUAGCGUUGCUCGGAAUCACUGGGCGUAAAGGGUGCGUAGGCGGGUCUUUAAGUCAGGGGUGAAAUCCUGGAGCUCAACUCCAGAACUGCCUUUUGAUACUGAAGAUCUUGAGUUCGGGAGAGGUGAGUGGAACUGCGAGUGUAGAGGUGAAAUUCGUAGAUAUUCGCAAGAACACCAGUGGCGAAGGCGGCUCACUGGCCCGAUACUGACGCUGAGGCACGAAAGCGUGGGGAGCAAACAGGGAUUAGAUACC
rnacentral:rRNA from 1 species